rnacentral:lncRNA from 1 species
UCCACCAGCCGACGCCUCCCUUCGCUUCAAGGAAGGGCCUGGUGUCCCCCCUACACACAACCACCUGAGAGCCUCGCGCUGGAAGGACUUUGGUAAUUAUUUGUUUCAGUUGAGCUGUUUUCAGUCUAGGCUAGGCUGAGUCUUGUAAUGAGUAUGGAUUUGCCAGUAAAUAAGUCCCCCGCUUCUAACCCCUGUAAUAAAUGCAUUUGGAGUAAUCUGGCGAUCACGCGGUGUAAUUGCUGGCUGUCAGGGCAGAUGGAUGCUCCCGCGCUGACUUUACCGCUGUCUGCCCUUCCUUCACGCCGUGCCACCACUGGGGCUCCAGCCCCUAGCCUGUAGUUGAGGGGCAUUUGCUUGGGGAUAGGAGUGGUCCUUCUUGCGCCAAGCAUGGGCUUUCCAAGUCACUCACCGGUGACCCACAGUGCCCUCAACCUCUCUGUAAGGAAUCACCAAAGCCUGACCCAAAAUGCAGAGAGACUUGGCCGAGUUGGUAGGGCAUUAGCCUAGCAUGUCCAAAGCCUUGGGUUUCAUACCCAGCACCACAUAUACUUGGCAUGACAGUGCGGUGCAUACUAUAACCCCAGCACUAAGGACUGGAGGCAGGAAGGUCAGAAGUUCAGUGUACCCCCUCAGGCCACACACACUAAGUUCCAUGCCAGCUUGAGCUGCAGUGAGACCCUGUCUAGAAACAAAAACAGACCAAGCAGGGCUCUGGGCACUGCUUCAGUUUGCCACAUUAUCUGUAGCUGGGACUCAAAAUCUGCAUUUUACUUGAUUUGUUUGCUUUUUGCAUUUUAUUUUUAAGUUUCAAUUAUUUGUAUAUGUGUCUAGACAUACACAGGGGUUGCUCUCUCCUUCUGGUGGUUCCUGGCUUUGAACUCAGGCCAUCAGACUUUCCUACCCACCGAGACACCUUCCAGGUCCCAGAAUCUGCAUUUUAAAAUACCCUCCUCCAGCCAUAAUGUGAGGGUGCAGACCCAUAAUCCCAGUACUCCAUAGCAGGAGGAUGAGGACAAGUUUGAGGCUAGCCUGAUCUACAUAGUGAAUUCCAGACUAGCUAGGACAACAGAGAGAAACCCUGUCUCACAAACACCAACUAACCAGCCAAUCAACGCAAACCACUGAUGUCUGCAGGGGACUUCUGGAAGCACCAAGGUUCUGAGGAAUAAGUCAGAUGCUCUAGGACUUGGUGUGUGUGCACCCCCCGCCCCCACACACACAGAGCUUUCUCUCCCUCAUAUAUUGGCUCCUUUCCCAAACAAAUCUGGCUCUGUUCAUUCCUUUGAGGCACUCUCCAAUCUCCUGCCUGGUGUGCUUUUAUACCCCUCCCCCCCAGGGGAGAUGGCCCCUUGGCUGUGUGCCAGUACAUCCUGUGCUGCGAUGCUCUCCUGGUCUUCACUAAGCAGAGGUUCCCACAGCUGGACAGUCGUGGACAUCACAACUGUCUUCCUUCACUCCUCUGAAUAGCCCCUGAGCCCUGUAUAUAAUGCCCAGCACACAAUAGUUGCUUAGUAAAUGCAAGGAGUAUGAAUAAGUAGGUAAGUGACAGACUGGCUGGGCUUGUUUAGGAUUUUAUAUUUAAUCCACACCCUGGGAUUAACUGGGCAGGCUGGCUGGGAGGGCAGGGAACAGGGACCCAAUGAAACUCCUCCCAUGGGACUCAGUGAAACUUCACGGAUCUCAACAGAUCAGGCCCAGCCUGCC